AGUUAAAAAGCUCGUAGUUGGAUUUUGGUUAAGAGGGCGCGGUCGGCCGUUUGGUCUGUACUGCGUUGUCUUGACUUCCUGAUGAGGACAUGCUCUUGGUUAACGCUGAGACAUGGAGUCAUCGUGGUUACUUUGAAAAAAUUAGAGUGUUCAAAGCGGGCUUACGCUUGAAUAUAUUAGCAUGGAAUAACACUAUAGGACUCCUGUCCUAUCUCGUUGGUCUCGGGAUGGGAGUAAUGAUUAAGAGGAACAGUUGGGGGCAUUCGUAUUUCAUUGUCAGAGGUGAAAUUCUUGGAUUUAUGAAAGACGAACUUCUGCGAAAGCAUUUGCCAAGGAUGUUUUCAUUAAUCAAGAACGAAAGUUGGGGGCUCGAAGAUGAUUAGAUACCAUCCUAGUCUCAACCAUAAACGAUGCCGACUAGGGAUUGGUGGAUGUUAAUUGAUGACUUCACCAGCACCUUAUGAGAAAUCAAAGUUUUUGGGUUCCGGGGGGAGUAUGGUCGCAAGGCUGAAACUUAAAGGAAUUGACGGAAGGGCACCACCAGGCGUGGAGCCUGCGGCUUAAUUUGACUCAACACGGGGAAACUUACCAGGUCCAGACAUAAGUAUGAUUGACAGAUUGAGAGCUCUUUCUUGAUUCUAUGGGUGGUGGUGCAUGGCCGUUCUUAAUUGGGGGGAGUGAUUGGUCUGGUUAAUUCCGUUAACGAACGAAACCUCAGCCUGCUAAAUAGUACGGGCCCUAUCCUUAGGGUCGCGACUUCUUUAAAGGGACCAUG
rnacentral:rRNA from 1 species